ACUUAGACAGACUAUGAAGAGAUACAUAGGGUGAGAAACGGAGGCCUUCAGCCAACAGCUGGGAGAAGCUGAGUCCCGUCAGCAAUUCAAAAGACUGCAGCCCCAGCCAAGAGUUUGAUGUAACCUCAGGAGAGACCCUGAGCCAGAACCACCUAGGCCAAUGAGCUAUACCUAGUGAUUCCAAAGUCCACAUAUAUUUACUCUGUUCUCACUGUGCAAAGUAACCGCUCUGAAGUCAAAAAAGCUGGGAUACAUGAAGACUGCCAUCCCUUGAGUCACUUGCCCUGUAGCUGCCACUGUUGGAAAAGGGCUUGAUUCUGUGUCCUUGUGCCCACUUUGAAAAGCCCUGGGAAGUCCUUGGAGUCAGAUGAUCAGGCCUCCACCACUCUGCCAAAAAGUCUGUUCAAUCAGGAGUCCCCAACCCCUGAGCCACGGACUGAUAUGGAUCUAUGGUCUCUUAGGAACUGGGCUGCACAGGAGCAAUGGUGCUUCUAGAAUUUCCUUACAGGAGGAGUGAAGAGUAAGCAUUUGGAUUGGACCAGGAUUUGGAGAACUUGUCAUGUUGCUCUAUGUGCAUAUGAAAUACAUCAUUGUAACUUAGAAUGUGAAUUAUAGAACAAACAUGGAAGUUGGAAAAAUA